rnacentral:rRNA from 1 species
CAUGCGCACCCCUUCUCAUCUAUAUAUUUUUCUCAUUCCCCCCCAAUGUAUGGAGAGAGAAUGUUGUCCCAUAAAAUAUAYACAACUCUCCGCAAGGGAUCUUGGGGCUCUCGCAGAGGAGGAGARCRCAGAAAAAUGCGAUAAGAAAUGAGAAGCGCAGAACUCAGAGUCUCAUAGUAUCUGUGRRCGCCCCGUGCGCUCCUGGGUUUUGCGGGGCGCACGCCUGUGAGAGUCUCAAAAAUAUAUAUCAACCCUUCUCUUGUUGAAUGGGUUUGGAUGUGGGGGUUUGCUGGUCUCUUAUAGGGUUCAGCUCCCCUGAAAUACAUUAGCAGAACAACCUGUUCAUUUGGUGUGAUAACUAUCUACGCUUUUGAAUGUAAAGGGAAAGUUCAGCUUUCUAACCGUCUUUGGACAAUCUAUCAUUUAUGGACCUC